CUGCAGCCCAGCACUGAGUACAAGCUCUUCUUGACUGUAUUCAACAGCGCUCACAACAUUACAAGUCCUGAGGUCAGUUGCACUACUACAGAUGGAGGAACAAAAAGGCCAGGUCUUGUCUCUUUUAGGAUCUUGUUUUCUGCAACAAUGCAAAGACUACUGCAGACUUGAGGACCUCGAGCCUACCCUGAGCCUCGUCUUGUGCAGAGGUUAAAGAGACAAAUCUUGAGGAUUGAGCUCUUCAAAAGCACUGGGGUUACAUCACACAGU
ensembl:lncRNA